rnacentral:ncRNA from 2 species
AGAGUUAAAUAGUACGUGAAAUUGUUGAAAGGGAAACGAUUGAAGUCAGUCAUGCUAGUGAAAAAUCAGUUUGACGGGUUUUUAGUUCUUGAGUAGAGGCAGGGUCAAACCGUUUCUCUUUUGGACUUAGAAUUUAUCAGAUGUAUUUUUUCUUUGGCAGGUCAGCGUCGAUUUCGGAGGUUGUAAAAUACUUGGGGAAAAGUAGCUCUGCUUCGGGAGAGUAUUAUAGACCUUGGGGGAUGCAGCCUGCGGGAUCGAGGAUUGCAGCAAAUGCCUUUGGCUUGUCGACUGAUCUCUGGUUGUUACCUCUCUUGUGACAACAUUCUUGCCACCAGAGGGUACUAAUGGCCAUUAGGUUAGAACGAUCAAAAUUUUGCUAAGGAUGUUGACGUAAUGGCUUUAAACGACC